GAGCGGUAACAGGUGUAGCAAUACAUGCUGACGAGCGGCGAACGGGUGAGUAAUGCUUCGGAAUCUACCUUAUGGUGGGGAAUAACUAGCCGAAAGGUUAGCUAAUACCGCAUACGUCCUACGGGAGAAAGCAGGGGAUCGUAAGACCUUGCGCCAAAAGAUGAGCCGAAGUCGGAUUAGCUAGUUGGUAGGGUAACGGCCUACCAAGGCGACGAUCCGUAGCUGGUCUGAGAGGACGACCAGCCACACUGGGACUGAGACACGGCCCAGACUCCUACGGGAGGCAGCAGUGGGGAAUAUUGGACAAUGGGGGAAACCCUGAUCCAGCGACGCCGCGUGUGUGAAGAAGGCCUGCGGGUUGUAAAGCACUUUUAGUGGGGAUGAAAUGUGCAGGGUUAAUACCUCUGCAUUUUGACCUAACCCACAGAAAAAGCACCGGCUAACUCUGUG
rnacentral:rRNA from 1 species